AAUAGGCUAGUCUAAUCUGAUUUGUUUGUAUAUGAUAUUAGAUAAUACCAUAGAAAAAGAUUAAUUUUAUUAAAUUAGAAAUUAUAAGAUAAAUCAAACUCUCUUUCUCUUCAACUCUCUUCCUCUCGACAUCUUUAGAAAACUAGCAGAAAAAUAGGGUUUUUCAACUCUAUUUUCGAUGUUCUAGCAAGAUCAUAGUGAAUCCAAUCCAAGGGGCCUAUAAAUCGUCGAGCAGUAGUUCCACUCAGGUUGAUCGACACACCUGAAUUCGGAAAUGAGGGCCUAUAAAUCGCCGAGCAGUAGUUCCACUCAGGUUGACUGACACACCUGAAUUCGAAAAUGAGGUAAGGGCAAAGCUAAGGCUGAGCAGCAGUGAGCUCGAGCGGAUGGAGAUUGUACAUGUCGGAACAGUUAGGCCUGGAGCGUACGAUCUUUAGGACAACAGGCUGUAUUUUUUAUAGUCGCUAUGCAAUAACUUUUGUAUCAAGUAUUUUGAAUCAGUACUUAUUAAAAAAAAAAGUAUUUUGAAUCAGUUACAAAUAUUUUAAACUCGACAUUCCAAUUAUAUAAAGGUUAUUUAUUUUUAAAUUAA